AAAAACCAGAGGGUUUGUUGCUUGUUUGCUACACAAGGCUGUGACCUAUGAACAGAAUUAGGAAUACAGAGGCUGAUUCUGAACACUUCAGGAUGCGCGAGAAAUAAAAUGAUUCAACUAUCUUGCAGGCCUCAUUUGGAACAUCCUACAAGCACUGUGGGGGAAGAACAAUUACCUCGAAAACAUGAGCACUGAAAUUCAGCCAUGGACGUCAGAAUGGGAGAUGGGAUGCCUUCAUCAUUGCUUUCUCAGUGCCAGAGGACUGAGAGUACGUUUUGCCCAGAGGUCUUGGGGAGGACUUCCCUGCCUAUCAAGUUAUCUGCAGAGUCUUCUACGCAAUGAGGUUUGGCUCCGCACUCCUCCUGCUGGAAACGUGCUCCCAGAAUUAGAAAAUCCUGAGACAUUGUCUGCCAGUGCCCU